GCCUUCGUGGUGUAGUGGUCUGCAUAGUCGACGCGUAACCGAGAGGUCCGUGGUUCGAUUCCCGGCGAAGGCG
rnacentral:tRNA from 1 species